UGGGGAAUAUUGCACAAUGGGGGAAACCCUGAUGCAGCGACGCCGCGUGAACGAAGAAGGUAUUCGUAUCGUAAAGUUCUGUCCUAUGGGCAGAUAAUGACAGUACCAUAGAAGAAAGCUCCGGCUAAAUACGUGCCAGCAGCCGCGGUAAUACGUAUGGAGCGAGCGUUGUCCGGAAUUAUUGGGCGUAAAGGGUACGCAGGCGGUUUAAUAAGUCGAAUGUUAAAGAUCGGGGCUCAACCCCGCAAAGCAUUGGAAACUGAUAAACUUGAGUAGUGGAGAGGAAAGUGGAAUUCCUAGUGUAGUGGUGAAAUACGUAGAUAUUAGGAGGAAUACCAGUAGCGAAGGCGACUUUCUGGACACAAACUGACGCUGAGGUACGAAAGCGUGGGGAGCAAACAGG
rnacentral:rRNA from 1 species